rnacentral:rRNA from 1 species
GAUGAACGCUGGCGGCGUGCCUAACACAUGUAAGUCGAACGUGAGGGUGCAGCAAUGUACCUGAAAGUGGCGAACGGGUGAGUAACACGUGGGUAACCUACCCUUGAGUGGGGGAUAACGACUGGAAACGGUCGCUAAUACCGCAUACGACCUUUGAUACGGGAGUAUCGAAGAUGAAAGAUUUAUUGCUCAAGGAGGGGCCCGCGGUCGAUUAGCUAGUUGGUGGGGUAAUGGCCUACCAAGGCUGUGAUCGAUAGCUGGUCUGAGAGGAUGAUCAGCCACACGGGAACUGAGACACGGUCCCGACUCCUACGGGGGGCAGCAGUGAGGAAUAUUGGUCAAUGGGCGCAAGCCUGAACCAGCCAUCCCGCGUGCAGGAAGACGGCCCUAUGGGUUGUAAACUGCUUUUCCAGGGAGAGAAACUUACGCACGUGUUGCGUGACUGACGGUACCCUGGGAAUAAGCAUCGGCUAACUCCGUGCCAGCAGCCGCGGUAAGCAUA